GUUAAAGUCAAUCAUCUGUUGCCCUUUUUUCUUAUGUUCUUCCUUACAGGCCCCUGUUCAUCUCAGAACUGUUGUUUUCUAUCCACAUAUUAAUUAUGCCACCAUACUGUAAGCCAUUGCUUCCCCACUUCUCUGCACACUGAAAUCUCAUAGAGCUCGAAGAACACUAAAGUCCGUUUGCUUUCUCAGACAUACAGUUUUUAUUGACCUGAAAGGGCUCAGAGAUUGAGGUCUUCGAAAGCUCCCCAGGUGAUUUCUAAGCGAACCCAAACUGGAGAAUUACCUUUGUGCAAUCAGUGCCUUCCACAUCCUUUCUAGGCCUACUUUGAUUGAACUGUAGCUGCUAAUCCUUCCUGACUCAACAGAUUCAUCAUCCCCCUGAGGAAACCCUCUCUGAACAUACUCCCUUAGCCAAGCGAAAGGUUUUCCUCUGACAUUUCAUUGGUUCUUGUGCAUACUAUGAAAUGUUGGAUUGGAAAUAUCUACAUGUCUCUUAUUUUAUUAACUUUCUAAAGUAUAAACUCAUAUUGGGGAAGAAAAUCAAUGAAGCAUAGUUGUGGUUAUCUGCCUAGAACAGAAUAGAACUCAGGAUGUCUACAGAACUCAGGAAAUAUUUUAUAGAACAGAAAUAAUGAUGAUGGAGUGGAUAGAUGAGUUAAUUAAUGAAUUAUCAAUGACAACGAUAACAAUCCUUUAAUCUUUUUUAUACACAAAUUGUUAUACAGACAUUACCUCAUAUCACACCCACAACAGUCCCGUCAGAAAGAAUGAUAUCCAUAUAACAGAUAAGCUCAGAUUUAGAGGUGUUAAGUGGAUGCUAUGGCCAUGAUGUGAAUCUGGUCUGACUACACUUUUAGUUGUUCUACUGAUUGCCUCCAAAAAUAGAGAAGAUGCUGAACUUGAUUUUCUCAUUAUAGUUUCUAUUUUAUUGGG
rnacentral:lncRNA from 1 species